CCUACGGGUGGCAGCAGUAGGGAAUAUUGCACAAUGGGGGAAACCCUGAUGCAGCAACGCCGCGUGGGUGAAGAAGUACUUCGUUAUGUAAAACUCUAUCAGCAGGGAAGAAAGUGACUGUACGUGAGUAAGAAGCCCCCGCUAACUACGUGCCAGCAGCCGAGGUAAUACGUAGGGGGCAAGCGUUAUCCGGAUUUACUGGGCGUAAAGGGAUCGGAGACGGCAGUGCAAGUCUGGAGUGAAAGGCGGGGGCUCAACCCCCGGACUGCGCUGGAAACUGUACGGCUGGAGUGCAGGAGAGGUAAGUGGAACUCCAAGUGUAGCGGUGAAAUGCGUAGAUAUUAGGAGGAACACCAGUGGCGAAGGCGGCUUACUGGACUGUAACUGACGUUGAGGUUCGAAAGCGUGGGGAGCAAACAGGAUUAGAUACCCCAGUAGUC
rnacentral:rRNA from 1 species